rnacentral:rRNA from 1 species
AAGGGGAGCAAUCCCUGAGUAAAGUGGCGACCGGUUGAGUAACAUGUGAUUAACCUACCCUUGAGUGUGGAAUAACAUCGGGAAACUGAUGUUAAUACUGCAUAACAUCGCAAGAUCAAAGGAGCAAUCCGCUUGAGGAGGGGGUCGCGGCUGAUUAGCUAGUUGGCGGGGUAACGGCCCACCAAGGCGAAGAUCGGUAGCCGGCCUGAGAGGGCGCACGGCCACACUGGAACUGAAACACGGUCCAGACUCCUACGGGAGGCAGCAGUGGGGAAUUUUGCGCAAUGGGGGAAACCCUGACGCAGCAACGCCGCGUGGAGGAUGAAGCCCCUUGGG